GGAGAGAGGAAGAGAGAGAGAGAGAGAGAGAGAGAGAGAGAGAGAGAGAGAGAGAGAGAGAGAGAGAGAGAGAGAGAGAGAGAGAGAGAGAGAGAGAGAGAGAGAGAGAGAGAGAGAGAGAGAGAGAGAGAGAGAGAGAGAGAGAGAGAGAGAGAGAGAGAGAGAGAGAGAGAGAGAGAGAGAGAGAGAGAGAGAGAGAGAGAGAGAGAGAGAGAGAGGAGAGAGAGAGAGAGAGAGAGAGAGAGAGAGAGAGAAGAGAGAGAGAGAGAGAGAGAGAGAGAGAGAGAGAGAGAGAGAGAGAGAGAGAGAGAGAGACAGAAGUAGGAGACGACAGGAUGACAGAUUAUCCCUUGGGGCACCCAUAAACUGAGAGGGCUAAAAAAAAAAAAAAAAAAAAAAUAAAAUAAAUAAUAAAUAAAAAUGCUUCACCCUAUAUCCCUGAUGGGGAAGGAAAUGGAUUAGGGCUUUGGAGGAGGAGAAUGUGGGACGAUUAUUGGCCAUGAAAGAUUUGAAGGCACCAUUGGUAAAAGUAGUGGGAACCACUAAGUGUCAGAUAAAGAUGAUGUAAAUUGUUACAACCGGGCCGACAAAAGACUACAAACAUGGCCGCCGCUCACAAACUUACCGGCUACAGCGCCAUCUUCAGGUUGGAUGCCGUCAUGACCGAGGGUAUGCAGGCCCCUCAGCAAAUGUUACCCACUUAAGGUGAACCCCAAGGAACAAAGGGGAAUGAAAAGGUGGAGAGUUGAAAAUGAACAAGAAAAAGAAGGCAUGUGGACAUUAUAUUAUGAACUAUUGUGGUGGAAGUCAUUCUUCUUAAAGUCAAGCAGAAUUGAAGGAGGUGGUGGGAUUGUCAUUUAUUUCCAACCCCCGAUUCAGCAAACAGUUGGUCUCUGCGGUCAAUGUCAAUGAACAAAGCCCCUGGUUGAAAAGACUGAAAUAAGUGAUGAACUGACACAAGUGAGUCCUAUGAGGGAACCAAGCGGGGCCAGAGAAUUACAUGCCAAUAAUACAUGUCUUGGGGAACUUUUCCUCAAAGUCCUAUCAGGAGUGAAAUUAAUCUGGAGAUUAUAAGCCCUAACUGGACUGGGGUCCCCAAGAGAGAGAAAGGGAUUUAAGGAAGGAUGUCAAGAAAGGCCAGGAUGAGAAUUAAAAACCAAGGAGCUGUUGGCACAGAGUCCCCAUCUCGACUUGCCAAUCCAUUCUGUGAAAGCAGAGAACUGGGAUCUUGUAAAAUCAUGGAAGGAAGAAAAGCUGCAACCAAAGUGGACUGGACCCUACCUUGUGUUAUUAAUCACCGAGACAGCAGUACGAACAAAAGAAAAAGGGUGGACACACGCAAACCGAUUUAAGGGUCCUGUGGAGGCCCCACCGGACAAUAUCAGCCCGUAGACUGUGCGUGAAGGGAAGGAACCAUUGACUUUGUGCCUAUUCGGAUGUUGUAUUAUUCCCUGCGCUGGCCUUCAGAACACAGUAUGACUAGCGAGAGGAGGAUAGGGAGGCGAAGAAUCUGCUGCUAGCACUAGAAAAGGAAGAUAUAGUAUAAUUCAAAAGAUGCGUAGCAAAAAGAAAAAUGGUGGAUUGUGAGAGAAGGGUUAAUAGGGAUGGUUAAAUUAUACUAGAACUCUGAAAAAUAUAACUUAGAAAGAAAUGAGCUUAUCCGCAGAAGCCAGACUGCUGGUAAAAUAAAGUAACAAUAUACAGAACAGAGAGAAAUUCUAGAUAAAAAGUAGCAAACAGAUAACAACUUCAGCAGAAGGCCUUGGGAGUCUUGACGUCAGGAAAUGGUCCGAGACAUUCCUGGACUUUCUCGUGUGAAUGUGGGCUUUAUGUUAUGAUUGGACGAAACUCGAUGGGGAGACCUGAGGUAGUGACCACAGUGAAGAAGGGUAUAAAGAUAGAAAGCAUCUCCAUUUUCUUUGUGCCUCCAGGGGACAUCAGAGGAGAGACACCUAUUCUGCAGAAUAUGAAAUUAAUAAAAACACUUCUUUGUCUGAA